rnacentral:lncRNA from 1 species
GAAAUUUUGGUUGACUGACAGACGAAAAUGUCACAUAGAAGCCAGAUAGACUCAUUUAAUAUUUACUUUAUGCGCGUCCACAUCAUUAAAUCAAUUUGUGUGGCAUUUUAAGUCUGUCCAGCCAACCAAAAUUUCACGGUAAGCACUAAUAUUGGAAUCAACAAAAACGUGAGAACUAAAAAUAUAAUAAAAAUAUAUAUAGACUAUUUUUAGAAGUGGACCAAAAUGUAGGAUUAAAAUCAUAUUUAACUUUAAAUUUUUUUUUUAUAGUGUGAAACUACUAUUGAACCCAUAGCAAAUAUUUAAAAUUACAAGAAAACCUCUCCAGUUUCCCUUCCAUAGCAGA